CUUCUUACCUGACAGGGGAAUACCACAAACAAGAAGGUGGUUUCCCAAGGGUGAGGCUCUUCCAUUGCAUAUUUUGGUUGGGUUGACCCCUGUGUGUUCCCCAAAUGUGGGAAACUCAACAGCAUAAUUUAUGGUUGGAUAACACAGUGGUGCAGCAGUAGCAUUGUU